UGAGACCCAUGAGUUGGCAUUUGCUUUCCUAUGAUCAUGUGUGGAAUUAACCUAAGUCCCACAAGUUGGCAGUUGACUUCCAUAUUUCUUCAUUGUUUUCUUUUUGAGGAGAUUAGUGUAAGACCAUUGAGUGGCCUCUGAUAUCCAGUUCUGUUUUAGGAGAUUGGUGUAAACCCAGCCAUUGGUAUCCGAUAUCCGCUUUUGUUUGUGAGAUUGGAGUAAGACCAUUGAGUGGCAUCCGGUAUCAUUUUGUUUGUUUAUUUUAU
rnacentral:lncRNA from 1 species